rfam:Caloramator quimbayensis strain TSBA 833 genome assembly, contig: Ga0105845_114
GGGGGCGUUUUGGCUUUCGACGGGGGUAAUAGGGAUUUAGGAAGCGAGUCGAGGAUCCUGGUGCCUCGUUAAAAAACUGGGAAUUAAAUAUAAACGCAAACGAUAAUUUAGCAUUCGCUGCCUAAGCUGCAGCGCGUCAGCCUGAGAGGCCCACGGCUCAGAGUCUGGCGUCGACAGUGGGGUACCGAGCUCUACUAAGCUUUGCGUAGAGAACGGAAUUUAUGAAGCUACUGAACCUAAGAGCCUGUCUUUGGGCGCUUAGGAGAGGGAAUGCCAAAACAAAGACUGCACUCGGAGAUGCCUGAGUUUCUUUGCUUUCGGACAGGGGUUCAAUUCCCCUCGCCUCCACCA